rnacentral:rRNA from 1 species
AUUGAACGCUGGCGGCAGGCCUAACACAUGCUAGUCGAACGCAGGGCGGACGGGUGAGUAAUGUCUGGGAAACUGCCUGAUGGAGGGGGAUAACUACUGGAAACGGUCGCUAAUACCGCAUACCCUCAGAUGUGCCCAGAUGGGAUUAGCUAGUUGGUGGGGUAACGGCUCACCAAUGCGACGGUCCCUAGCUGGUUUUAGAGGAUGACCAGCCGCACUGGAACUGAGACACGGUCCAGACUCCUACGGGAGGCAGCAGUGGGGAAUAUUGCACAAUGGGCGCAAGCCUGAUGCAGCCAUGCCGCGUGUAUGAAGAAGGCCUGCGAGUUGUAAAGUACUUUCAGCGGGGAGGCGUUACCCGCAGAAGAUGCACCGGCUAAUUCCGUGCCAGCAGCCGCGGUAAUUC